UUUAAUUCGAUGCAACGCGAAGAACCUUACCUGGUCUUGACAUCCACAGAACUUUCCAGAGAUGGAUUGGUGCCUUCGGGAACUGUGAGACAGGUGCUGCAUGGCUGUCGUCAGCUCGUGUUGUGAAAUGUUGGGUUAAGUCCCGCAACGAGCGCAACCCUUAUCCUUUGUUGCCAGCGGUCCGGCCGGGAACUCAAAGGAGACUGCCAGUGAUAAACUGGAGGAAGGUGGGGAUGACGUCAAGUCAUCAUGGCCCUUACGACCAGGGCUACACACGUGCUACAAUGGCGCAUACAAAGAGAAGCGACCUCGCGAGAGCAAGCGGACCUCAUAAAGUGCGUCGUAGUCCGGAUUGGAGUCUGCAACUCGACUCCAUGAAGUCGGAAUCGCUAGUAAUCGUGGAUCAGAAUGCCACGGUGAAUACGUUCCCGGGCCUUGUACACACCGCCCGUCACACCAUGGGAGUGGGUUGCAAAAGAAGUAGGUAGCUUAACCUUCGGGAGGGCGCUUACCACUUUGUGAUUCAUGACUGGGGUGAAGUCGUAACAAGGUAACCGUAGGGGAACCUGCGGUUGGAUCAC
rnacentral:rRNA from 1 species